UCAAACUAAAUUUAAAUUGCAUGCUAUCACUUAUUCUUCUGUAACAUGGUGAAAGUGUAUUUCACAGGGCUGUUAGUCCUUAUUAAAACCAGCUAGGCAAAAAUGAAACCUCACUCCUUCACUCUGCCACCUGUCAUCUUUCCCCCACUCAUACGUAUCUAUUCAGCCUAAAUCUAAGGUGGUUUUAAAAGCCAGUCACUACUUUCUUGAACAAAGUGUUUAAAAUCAUGGGUUGCAAUAAAAGAUAAUAAAACACAAUAGAAAACAUCGAGCACAUGGAGUAAAGGUAUUAUAUAUAUCCUAGACAUUAUAAAAUAGAUGUCAAUAUGAGAGAAGUUUUUUUAAAAAGAGACCAAACACUGUUGAAGGGUAAACGGCACUAAGGACGACAAGAGCAAGGGCUCUAAUUCCAGGAUACUGAUGGACUCAUUAAUUGACUUGAGCCUUGGUCUCAGCCAGUGUGUGAAAGGAGCUCUUACAAAGAAGUAAUUCUUGCCUGGGAGGUGUUUUUAUACCAAAACUCUAUACUGUUUUCCUCAAAAAAAGUUUAUUUUAGAGAACAUGUCACUACGAUUUUUAAAUCCUUGUGCAUUCAAGGUUUAAGUAGUCUUGGUACAGGAUACAGUCAAAUCAUGAUACACUUCAGUGAUUUUAUACUGAGCCACAUACUUAAUAUAAAGGCACAUUUUACUGAAUAAAAAAAUAAGUGUUAAAUCUUGAGCUUUUAAAU